UGCUAUUAUGGAAAAAAAUGAAUGGGAGAAGGAAAAAUUGAAUGUUAGUUUCUUUUGAGUUUUUCUAUGAUGGCCUCUUUCCCUUAUGAGUUUCAAUGCGAAUAAUGCUAGACACAAGUAAAAUUGGUAGUAAGAUUUCACUAUUUUGUGCAAAUUGUGCCUAUUUCCGUGCACCACUCUUUGCUUCUUAUUCCCCAAACUGAUUCAUAAAUGCCGGUUUAGGCUCCGAUACUGCUAUAUAAACUCUAUUAUACAAGAUGAUCGAUGUGACCCAAUGUAUUCAUGUUAUCCUUUUCUCAAUCAGCGAAUGCCUAAUGUGAAUCCAGAAGUGUCCAUCGUUGCUUUUAGAGCUUAUGUUAUGCCUUGGGAUUUGGCUACUUUACUAAGUAAUGGCUAAUUUCCACGAAAAGUUAGCUGAGACAUCAUCGAAAAACAUCCGUUCAAAAGCAGAAUAUCCUUCUUAACAUCGAAGUUUUCAACUCCAGGAUCAACACUCGUCCUCGACUCGAUCAACAGGCUCUUGUCACAAAGUGAUUGUGAUGGAAAAGACAAGUUCUCAGGAUCAAUGUGCUUUGUUGGACUCAGGUGGUAUCGACUUUCCAUUAACUUUGUCCUUUUCGUUUUAUAGUUCAUUUAUUUGAUAAAAACAAUUUUCACUGCUGCUGCCGAUGACAUGUUUUGGCCAAGCUGGAGAAAAGAUGCAGAAUCCAUAUGCUUACUCUGACCAUUACCUCAACGGGUUAUACACUGCCGACGGACCUCAUACCAUGAUAAAUGCAAUUAUCGCAUUAUAAAUGUGUUGAAACUUUUACUGUAAUUAUUUGCUGCUUCGUCUUAUUAACAGAAAUACUCAUUGGAAGUCACGGAGAAACUAUUCUUUUUCUU